GGGCCCAUAGCUCAGUGGUUAGAGCCCCCGGCUCAUAACCGGGUCGUCCCUGGUUCGAAUCCAGGUGGGCCCA
rnacentral:tRNA from 1 species